CUGAGUUUACGCUCUAUAACCCUUUAUGAACAUACCUAUAACUGUUGCUUUGGCGGGUAGGGUCUCUGUGACCCUCCCAGCCUCUUGCCCCUGGGCGGGUUGGCGCCUGCUGGAGGAUAACUAAACUCUGAUUUAACGACGUUUCUUCUGAGUGGUAUAAGUAAAUAAUUA
rnacentral:misc_RNA from 1 species